GCACUUUGUGGUUGAGAAAGACUCUUAAGUCCUCAAAGAGCUUCUUGUGCUUCAUCUUACCACCAUCUCCCCAUUGGCAGGACGUUCAUCCACUCAGCCCCAUCCUCCUCCACAGGCACCACACACGGGCCAAAGUUGCUGAGACACAUUCUUGCAAAGGAGCAAGCCUGGUGGUGGGAGAUAACUCUGUCUCAACUUUAUAACCAAUUAGCCAGACACAUAGGAGGUUUGGACUUGUGACUGGCAUGGAAAUGGGUUGAAAGUAAAUUGCCCACAGGCUGGCAAAACA